AAUAUUCAUGAAAUUCUUCAUUUGGAACCCCUGUUUAUGAAGCUUUAAGAAAAGCCAUUUGCACCAGAAAUCACCUGGUUUCUGAACAGUUGUUACAGUUGUCAUAUAGCCCUGUAUCAGAUAGCAGCAGAGCUUCAGUAAUAACAGCAGCUGCCAUCUUUGAUUAAUGCCUUGCGGAUAUAUGUGCCAGUUGAUCUUCUGGGACUCCUAACAGUGGGAGCAGGGACUAUCUCUGUCUCUUUGCUGACGUUUGGAAGCAUAUUCCUCAUACUUGA